rnacentral:tRNA from 1 species
AAGGGAUGUAGCGCAGCUUGGUAGCGCCUUUGAGGGUCAAAAAUUUCACGGGUUCCAAUCCUGUCAUCCCUA